AUAUCUUGGAAAGCAGAUUUAAAUGUACUAGAUUUCAACAUAAAAAAAAGAAUAAUGCACAUUAAUCCACAAAGUUUUCAUGAAACAAUUUAUAAAUACCUGAAAUUGCUGAUUUGUUUGAAACUCCAAUGGAAAACAUUUUCCUCAGAAGACUAUAAACAAUGGCAAGAAACAUAAGGAUGGCAUUUAGAGUAAACAUCAUGGUAUAUGACUUGUUGAAAACUUUCCUGAAUAAGUAAGAUCCUGAAAAUAUAAAUUCAUCAGGAGAAGAACAAAAUGAAAUUUGAAUUACAUACCUAAUGCAAUACCAGUGGGCAUAGUUGACAAGUAGAUCACCUCCAAAAGAGUUACUCUCAGUGUCCUAUUUUCUGAGCUGGAAACAUCAACAAGAUAACUGAAUGCAGCAGCAAAAAUUGCAACGUCGGCUCCCGUGAAAGCCAUGGGCAGAGUAGCAGUAUAAACUAUGUACUCAACGGGCCAUGUAGUUUGCAUAGAAUUAACAACAACCAUGACAGAAUAGUAAAACUUGCCUAUCAAUCCAAUCAAAAGUGGCAUUUUCCUGCCACGUUUGUCAGACCAAGC